rnacentral:rRNA from 1 species
GAUGAACGCUGGCGGCGUGCUUAACACAUGCAAGUCGAACGGAAAGGCUCCUGCUUGCAGGGGUACUCGAGUGGCGAACGGGUGAGUAACACGUGGGUGAUCUGCCCUGCACUUCGGGAUAAGCCUGGGAAACUGGGUCUAAUACCGGAUAGGACGAUGGUUUGGAUGCCAUUGUGGAAAGUUUUUUCGGUGUGGGAUGAGCUCGCGGCCUAUCAGCUUGUUGGUGGGGUAAUGGCCUACCAAGGCGUCGACGGGUAGCCGGCCUGAGAGGGUGUACGGCCACAUUGGGCCUGAGCUACGGCCCAGACUCCUACGGUAGGCAGCAGUGGGGAAUAUUGCACAAUGGGCGGAAGCCUGAUGCAGCGACGCCGCGUGGGGGAUGACGGGCUUCGGGUUGUAAACUCCUUUCGCUAGGGACGAAGCGCAAGUGACGGUACCUGGAGAAGAAGCACCGGCUAACUACGUG